rnacentral:sRNA from 1 species
CUGAUCAAACUAGAAGUUACCAAGGAACC